GACGAACGCUGGCGGCGUGCUUAACACAUGCAAGUCGAACGGAAAGGCCCUGCUUUUGUUCCGUGCUCGAGUGCCGAACGGGUGAGUAACACGUGAGUAACCUGCCCUUGACUUUGGGAUAACUUCAGGAAACUCGGGCUAAUAUCGGGUAGGAGCUCCUGCUGCAUGGGGGGCGUUGGAAAGUUUCGGCGGUUGGGGAUGGACUCGCUGCAUAUCAGCUUGUUGGUGGGGUAGUGGCUUACCAAGGCUUUGAAGGGUAGCCGGCCUGAGAGGGUGACCGGCCACAUUGGGACUGAGAUACGGCCCAGACUCCUACGGGAGGCAGCAGUGGGGAAUAUUGCACAAUGGGCGGAAGCCUGAUGCAGCAACGCCGCGUGCGGGAUGACGGCCUUCGGGUUGUAAACCGCUUUCGCCUGUGACGAAGCGUGAGUGACGGUAAUGGGUAAAGAAGCACCGGCUAACUACGUG
rnacentral:rRNA from 1 species